rnacentral:rRNA from 1 species
GGCUCAGGACGAACGCUGGCGGCAUGCCUAACACAUGCAAGUCGAACGGAGUAAUGACUUCGGUUAUACUUAGUGGCGAACGGGUGAGUAACACGUGAAUAAUCUGCCCUGUACGAUGGGAUAACAGCUGGAAACGGCUGCUAAUACCGUAUAUGACCACGCCGAGGCAUCUCGGAGGGGUGAAAGCGCUUAAGCGGUACAGGAUGAGUUCGCGUCCAAUUAGCUAGUUGGUGAGGUAACGGCCCACCAAGGCGACGAUUGGUAGCCGACCUGAGAGGGUGAUCGGCCACACUGGAACUGAGACACGGUCCAGACUCCUACGGGAGGCAGCAGUGGGGAAUAUUGGGCAAUGGAGGAAACUCUUACCCAAGCAAUGCCGCGUGAGUGAUGAAGGUCUUCGGAUUGUAAAGCUCUUUGAUUGGGGACGAAUAAAUGACGGUACCCAAGGAACAAGCCCCGGCUAACUAUGUGCCAGCCGCGGC